rnacentral:rRNA from 1 species
CACUGUGCAAUUCAGUGUGAUUUGAAAUUGAAAAAAUUAUUAAAUUAAUUGUUGAAAUUAUUCUUUUUUUUAGUAAAUUAUUUGAAAUAAAUAUUUUAAUUAUAGUUUAAUAGUAAUGUGAAUGAACUUUGAAAUAAUAAUUAAAUUUUUAAAAGAAGAAUUAAAUUUUUGUACCUUGUGUAUCAGGGUUGAUAAAUUAAGGGUUUAAUAUUGAACUUUCCCGAAUCAAUAAGAGUUAGCCUUUUAUGUUUAAGAUUGUUUAAAAAAUCUAUUUUAUAAUUGGUUUGAAAUGAAACGUUAUUCGUUUAUUGAGAUAUCUGGUUUUUUUAGAAAAGAAUUCAAUUCUUUCCUUUUUAAUUAUUUUUCUAUUUUUGAUUUAUAAUUGAAGGGGUUAAAUAUUAAAUGGGAUGAGCUUUUUAGUAUAUUAUUAAAAAUUAUUUUGUUAUAUUGGUUUGUAUGAUUAAAAUUUUCAAUCUUAAAAUAAAUUAAUAUUUUUCCUUUAUUAAUAUAAUAUUUAUAUGUUUUUUAAGUUUUUUAUAAAAAUUUUUUCUUUAAUUUAAUGAGUUAAUUAAUAAUGAUUAAAUUAGUAAAUUUUGGUUUUUAAAACUUUAUAAUUGAAAGGUUUAUUAAAGGAAUUCGGCAAAUUUACUUUCCGCCUGUUUAAUAAAAACAUGUCCUUUUGAUAAUGAUUUAAGGUCUAAUCUGCUCAAUGAAUUUUAAAUAGCCGCGGUAUUUUGACCGUGCGAAGGUAGCAUAAUAAUUAGUUUCUUUAUUGGAAGCUGGAAUGAAUGAUUGGACGAGAAAGUUACUGUCUCUAAUAAAAUUUUAAUUGAAUUUAACUUUUAAGUUAAAAGGCUUAAAUGAUGUUUAAAGACGAGAAGACCCUAUAGAGUUUUAUAUUUAAAUGAUUGAGUAUUUUUUGGUAUUUAUUUAUUUAAUUAUUUAUUUAUUUGGUUGGGGUGACUAAAAGAUUAGAUUAACUCUUUUAAAUUGAUGUUAUUGAUUGAUAAAUAAAAAUUCUUUUUUAAAAAGUUUAAAAUAAAUUACCUUAGGGAUAACAGCGUUAUUUCCUUUAGAAGUUCUUAUUUUAAGGGGAGAUUGCGACCUCGAUGUUGGAUUAAAAUUUAUAUUUGGUGCAGUAGCUAAUAUAUUGGGUCUGUUCGACCUUUAAAAUUUUACAUGAUCUGAGUUUAAACCGGUGUGAGCCAGGUUGGUUUCUAUCUUUAAUUUAAUAGGAUGCUUUAGUACGAAAGGACCAAGUAUUCAAUAAAUUAUUUAAUUUUUGAGUAAAAUUGUUACUUUGGCAGAAUAGUGCGA